AAAAAGACUUAUGGCAUUUAAAGAAAAGAAAAAUAAGCUUAUGAAAAUUUAAAACAAAAUUAAGUACAAUAAAAAUAUAAAUAUAUAAAGCACAAGAGACAAAACCCACCUACUUUUCUUUCCAUCUUCUUCCCCACUCUCCCUCUCUCUUGCCGUCUCCCUUGCUCUCUCCCUCCCCACCAUUGUUAUCAAGCUUAAAGCUUGAUUUCCCAAGCUUUCACUCACCAAAACCCAUAGACCCCUUCACAAAAAAUUUAGCCCACACCAUAAGGAAGCUUUAGAUACCCAUAAGAAGAAGAAAGAUUAAAGUUUGAAGUGGGUCACAAGAGGUACUGGAGAUCAGCCGCAGCAGCCGCAGCAGCAGCACCAGUAGUACACUGACAGAGCUUUGAUCAGAUCUGCCAUUGUCCAGAGUCACCUCACCGGUCUGUUGUAUUUUGGUAGGGCCCAUGUAUAGACUAGUAUUUUGGUUCAUUAUGUUUAGUCAUGAUGUAAUUACUAGUUUAUGAUGUAUUUCAUUUUGGACUUGUAAUUAAACUUUGAGAUUGAAAUGAAAACUUGUAAUUUAUUAUCUA